ACACCGGCAGCCCAAGUGGUGGCCAUUUUUAUUGGGCCUAAAGCGUUCGUAGCCGGCCUGAUAAGUCUCUGGUGAAAUCCCGCAGCUUAACUGUGGGAAUUGCUGGAGAUACUAUCAGGCUUGAGGUCGGGAGAGGUUAGAGGUACUCCCAGGGUAGGGGUGAAAUCCUAUAAUCCUGGGAGGACCACCUGUGGCGAAGGCGGCUAACUGGAACGAACCUGACGGUGAGUAACGAAAGCCAGGGGCGCGAACCGGAUUAGAUGCCCGGGUAGUCCUGGCCGUAAACGAUGUGGACUUGGUGUUGGGAUGGCCUCGAGCUGCCCCAGUGCCGAAGGGAAGCUGUUAAGUCCACCGCCUGGGAAGUACGGUCGCAAGACUGAAACUCAAAGGAAUUGGCGGGG
rnacentral:rRNA from 1 species